UAUGGUUUGGAAACAGAAAAUCUGAAAACUCUUUCACACAAACUGAAUGCAUCUGCCAAAAAUCUGCAGAACUUCAUCACUGGGAGGAGGAGGAGUGGUCAUUACGAUGGAAGGACCAGCCGCAAAUUACCAAAUGAUUUUCUGACAUCAGUAGUGGAUCUCAUUGGAGCUGCUAAAAGUCUCCUGGCUUGGUUGGACAGAUCACCUUUUGCUGCUGUGACAGAUUACUCAGUAACAAGAAAUAAUGUAAUACAACUCUGUCUGGAGCUGACAACAAUUGUACAACAGGAUUGCACAGUAUAUGAAACAGAGAAUAAAAUUCUUCAUGUGUGUAAAACUCUCUCUGGCGUCUGUGACCACAUCAUCUCGCUCUCUUCUGAUCCCCUGGUUUCCCAGUCGGCCCACCUUGAAGUGAUCCAGCUUACAAACAUCAAGCCAAGUGAAGGGCUGGAUUCAUGAAAUGUUGGAGAUGGAAAAUGGAUUAUUGUCAACUGUAUUCUACAUUUUGGACCCACAUGACAGUUCUUUGUUGGCCUUACUGCACACUAAAUAAAGUCUUCUAUAAAGAUGGAAAGAGUUCAAGGAGAAAGCAUGGAUGACUGUUGACUUGGAAGAUGUUUUGUCAUCUAGCAUAAGUGGCAUGUUUAAAAUGUCUUGAAUUUAAUAUCUAAGAAGAGGAAACAGAUCAGGGAAUGAAAAAGAAGAAAAAUAAAAGUAAAAUUUGGAAAACAAUGCUAUUUCUCUAAAAUAAUAUGGCAAAUAUAAGGUGGAAUAGAGAAAAUGGUUGGAGCUUUUACAACAUUAAAGAAAUAACAACACUAUCAGUAUGUUUUAAUCAACAUGCACAGUUUUUUUACUAUAUUUGAACUGUUUUUGUGGAAUUGUAAUUAUCAGAAGGAAGAGGUAAAUUUGCUACAUACAAUGUCUUAUUAAAAUUAGAAAACGGUUAUCAGGAAAUGAACUAGUCUGGGAAGGAUGUUCUUUGGAUGUGAUAGGGAGAAAUUCUGGUGUAUUGGGUAAAGCUUAUGUGAAACAUGGGUGAGUUUUGGUAUUGCUCUUCAUCUUUUUUUUCCCUCCUUUCUUUUUCCCUAAUCUGCCCACGUGAAUGACUGCAUAUGUGUUCACAAAUGGGUGUUGCUGCAGAAAGAGAUGCAUCCUGCAGUGAUUGUGAAGUAAGAGUGAAAGGGGAUCUGUCAGAGUAUAAAAUUCUUCUAAAAAUUGUUUCAUCUGUAACACUAAGUAGAAUCCAGUUUUCUGUAUUUUUCCCAUACUGAUUCUAUCUAAGCAAUCCAGUCUUAUUUCUAUAAUAUAAUUUGCCAGGAAACAGACCUAAAAAUAUUAGUUUGACUAAAAACAAGUUUGUUUAGUAAAGAAACAGAAUACUACACAACUACUGUUAGACAAGAAGCAAGUUAUAGAUAGCACUUUUCUUUGGAGGUUUUUCUUCAAUGGUGCCUUUUCUUUCACUUUUUUUAAAUACAGAACAAUGCUGGAGAACUAUGGCACACAUUAGGCAGAAAAUCAAAUAUAAACAGGAGAAACUGUAACUAGUCAGUUAACGUGUGUGAUAACAAACCUAAUGAGUUCUGGGAUAUGACUUCAAGUUCAAGCUAUUCACCUAAUUUGCUAGAUUUAGAAAUGCAAAGGUGAAUAUACCUAAAUAUUAGACUGGUUGUUCUUAGUUCCCCUUUGCUUGCUAAAGCAAGCACAAAAUGGGCCUGCUAUGAGAAAAUGCACUUAUGAAAUAGAAGUUAUAUGUAGAGAAGAAAAGCUGGUUAAAACUGCACUGGUAGGUGUCCAGUUGGGAAGUAUUUUUCAGGCAUCUAGUGUACUACUAGUUCUUGAUACUUCUCCUCUUAUUUGUCUUGAAAUGUUGGAGGAGAUGAUGGGGGGAGAGGAGGGGGAAGGAAGCUGUGAAUAGGUUUUUGAGAACUGCUGGGACUUUGGUCUUUACUAAUCCUACUUAAGCUGUAGGGCUGAGCUGAGACUCUCAAGUUUACUUUGAGCUGUGUGUUUACUUUUGCACUUUUGGAGCACAUUCAUGGCUAAAGAGCCAAAUGCAGCUUCAGGGGACUGCAUUAAGAUGUCAUCAUGGAGAAAGUAAAAACUACAUUUACGUACAUGAAAAAAUGGAAUUGAUAUCUUCUUGUAUUUUCCAUCCAGUAUUGAGUAAAUUGAAUUAAAUGUAAAGCAGGUUCUGUUCUUCCAUUCUUU